rnacentral:ncRNA from 1 species
AGAAUAUUAGUAUUUGGGAAGAGUAGGUUGGAAUAUUAUUAAAGAGAGUGCAUGGUCGGUGUAAAUGCAUAUAAGUUUUAACUGAAGGUAGCCCACUCGUUCUCUAGCUGAAUCAGUAGGUUAGAGCGUGUCAUGAGCGUUAAUCAUAUGAGUGCAAUAGUUAGUUAAACAAUAUCUAUUGAAUAUAGGUGGUACCACGGAACAUCCGUCCUAUUA